rnacentral:rRNA from 1 species
UGCACCUACGGGACGCAGCAGUGAGGAAUAUUGGUCAAUGGGCGCGAGCCUGAACCAGCCAAGUCGCGUGAGGGAGGACGGCCCUACGGGUUGUAAACCUCUUUUGCCGGGGAGCAACGGGCGUCACGUGUGGCGCCACUGAGAGUACCCGGAGAAAAAGCAUCGGCUAACUCCGUGCCAGCAGCCGCGGUAAUACGGAGGAUGCGAGCGUUAUCCGGAUUUAUUGGGUUUAAAGGGUGCGUAGGCGGAUCGUUAAGUCAGUGGUCAAAUUGAGGGGCUGAACACCUUCUCUCCAUUGAAACAGG